UAGUAUAGUGGUGAGUAUUCCCACCUGUCACGUGGGAGACCUGGGUUUGAUUCCCCG
rnacentral:tRNA from 1 species